UCGAGAAUUUUUCUCAAUGGGCGAAAGCCUGAAGGAGCGACGCCGCGUGGGGGAUGAAUGGCUUCGGCCCGUAAACCCCUGUCAUUCGGGAUCAAUGCCUGUCAUUUAACAGAUGGCAGGUUGAUAGUACCGGAAGAGGAAGGGACGGCUAACUCUGUGCCAGCAGCCGCGGUAAUACAGAGGUCCCAAGCGUUGUUCGGAUUCACUGGGCGUAAAGGGUGCGUAGGUGGCAGGGCAAGUCUGGCGUGAAAUCUCCGAGCCUAACUCGGAAACGGCGUCGGAAACUGCCCCACUAGAGGAUUGGAGGGGAGACUGGAAUACUUGGUGUAGCAGUGAAAUGCGUAGAUAUCAAGUGGAACACCAGUGGCGAAGGCGAGUCUCUGGACAAUUCCUGACACUGAGGCACGAAAGCUAGGGGAGCAAACGGGAUUAGAUACCCCCGUAGUCC
rnacentral:rRNA from 1 species